AACUAGCCAGUACACUCAGCUAUGGGGUUGGGACAGAAUGGGUUAAGUUUUGCCAACAAAGGAUCUUUCAGUUCUAAAAGGAACAUCAUUCCAUUCUUCUCCUUCUACACAAACACAUUUUUUGGCAAGAUAAGCACGGAGUGGUUGGAUUGCAAAUUGCAUCUAUUACAUUGUCUCUUUUAGUCUUGAUAUGAUGGUUUUCCUGUUUACCAACAAGGGGCUUUCUUUCCUUCAGAGUCAUAUUUGUUUGCUUAUCAUUCACAACAGUGUUUCCAGGAUGGAAAUAAAUGCUGGUGUUUGCUGGACUAGACAUGUUGACCUACAUUUAAUGAUGUAGAAAUAAUAACAUUUAAUGAAUUUGAAUGAGUUAGUGGCAAUAGACAAAAACAUUUGCCUUGGGAAAGCAUUAAUAUUCUACAAUUGGACUGAAGUGGACAUGCCUGGGUCUAAAAUGAAGAGAGCUCAUAGAACUGCACCAUUCAAAGGCCCCUUUCAUUUCUGCUUCUGAGAUAUAUGAAAGUUCUUUGUUUUUCUAAUCUAAUUAAAGCAUACCUUUUCUCCUGACAUAGAAUUUGGGAAGCUGGGGAGCUCUUUAAUUUAAGCUUAUUACCAAAAUGGCAGAAUUUAACAAAAGAUUGGCAGGGAGUCUAUUUGAAAAGAUGACACCAUUUAUGAUCAACGCACUGAGCUUUUCCCUCCCUGUAAUGGUUUCAGUAAUUACAAAUUUAAAUGACUAAUUAAGGCUGUCAAAAUGACCAAUAACUUUUGGCCUUUCAAAUCACAUAUUCUAUAAAAAGAACACAGGCACCAACAUUUGACUCGGCAAACAAGCCAACAAAAAACUUAACAGAACUUAAUAUUCAGUGAGAUAUGAUAAUUGAAUUAUUCUUGAACAUGCAUUGUUUAUUUAAUAAGCUGCUCAGGAUCCCUUUGUCCUAACUCUGGCAUGAAAAGAAAGGAAUUGCAUGUAGCUAGGAAAUCUUCACCAAUUGUGAGAGAUGUUAAAACUCUGUCAUACUGGGGAAGGUACUGCGAAUGGGAAGAACUGCUGUGUAAAGAUACUUACUUUUUAUGUUUUUCAUAUCCUUUGUUUAUUUAAAAUCAGCCAUUUGUUCUAAAAGAAGAUGUCAUUUUUUAAAAAGUGAAUAAAAUUGUAUUUUGUUUUGCUUUAUUAUUAUAAAGUGCAGGACGAAAAGCUAUAAAUUUGUUCUGAAAGUGCUAUAAUAAUGUUUAUUGGCAUACCAACAUGUACAGAUAAUAUUCUUCCAGAACCUUCCUGAGUACCACAAUCAAUUUGAAAAAUGCAUCUUGUUUUUUUUUUUUUUUAAACUAGCAAGUGUGGUUUCCAGGCAAUGCAACUGUGACCAUGUUAUUAACCUUUGGAUUGCUUCUAAAAUAAAAUGGCAAACACUAAGACCUGGAAAGAUGCUUUUUAGUUCUGAAAAUCUAAGAUGUUCUUUGUGAUGUUAAGAAGAUUAUUCAGAGCACAAAGCUACUCUGUAUUUUGUUUGUUUGUUCGUUCGUUUUGUUUAGUUUUCAUUUGUCACACUACCAAAUUGAUUAAGAUACCUGACCUUAGCAACAGAAAGAACUGGUUCAAAUGUUUUACAUCUAAGUAAAAAUGCUAGUACUAAAAUGAUCAUCAUCAGUGAGAGGCAUGACUACUUACAAGAAGCAUGGGACUUGCCAAAGGGGGACUGGACCAUGAUAAGGUAGAGCAAGUCAGGUUCCUCUACCCUAAGAGAAGCAAAAGAUUCACUUCAGUCAUAGAGCAUCCUUUAAAGGACUCUGAAGGUUCAUGGUCUCGGGAAAACCCCUAUCCACACAGCUGAC
rnacentral:lncRNA from 1 species